rnacentral:rRNA from 1 species
UGGGUAACCUGCCUCAAAGAGGGGAAUAGCCUCCCGAAAGGGAGAUUAAUACCGCAUAAUAUGUUUAGGUCGCAUGACUUUAACAUCAAAGGAUUUUCUUUAGAAAUUCCACUUUGAGAUGGACCCGCGGCGCAUUAGCUAGUUGGUGAGGUAACGGCUCACCAAGGCAACGAUGCGUAGCCGACCUGAGAGGGUNAUCGGCCACAUUGGAACUGAGACACGGUCCAGCUCCGUAGGGAGG